AGUAGAGUCAGCUAAAUAAGCUUUCGGGCCCAUACCCCGAACAUGUUGGUUAAAACCCUUCCUCUGCUA
rnacentral:tRNA from 1 species